rnacentral:rRNA from 1 species
GACGAACGCUGGCGGCGUGCCUAAUACAUGCAAGUAGAACGCCGAAGGAGGAGCUUGCUUCUCUGGAUGAGUUGCGAACGGGUGAGUAACGCGUAGGUAACCUGCCUGGUAGCGGGGGAUAACUAUUGGAAACGAUAGCUAAUACCGCAUAAUAUUGACUAUUGCAUGAUAGUCAGUUGAAAGGUGCAACUGCACCACUACCAGAUGGACCUGCGUUGUAUUAGCUAGUUGGUGGGGUAACGGCUCACCAAGGCGACGAUACAUAGCCGACCUGAGAGGGUGAUCGGCCACACUGGGACUGAGACACGGCCCAGACUCCUACGGGAGGCAGCAGUAGGGAAUCUUCGGCAAUGGACGGAAGUCUGACCGAGCAACGCCGCGUGAGUGAAGAAGGUUUUCGGAUCGUAAAGCUCUGUUGUAAGAGAAGAACGAGUGUGAGAGUGGAAAGCUCACACUGUGACGGUAUCUUACCAGAAAGGGACGGCUAACUACGUG